GGGCCUGUAGUAUAACCUGGAUAGUACAGAGGACUUCGGAUCCUUUGAUCAGGGUUCAAAUCCCUGCAGGCUCGC
rnacentral:tRNA from 1 species